rnacentral:sRNA from 1 species
UACCUACCAGCCAGUGGAUUAGUGCAGUAAAGUUCAUACAGAGACCAGAAGUCUUAGAAAACUGACCUAGAGCAGGAGAGACAGGUCACAUAUUGGUAGGAGUAAUAUGUUAUGUUUCAGGCACUACACGCUGGAUGCUUCCCUGCCUUUGCGUCUGCGACCAGAGUCAAUGGAGAAGCUGCGCUGUCUCCGGGCUUGUGUGAUCCGAUCUCUGUACCAUAUGUAUGAGCCAUUUGCUGCUCGAAUCUCCAAGAAUCCAGCCAUUCCAGAAAGCACCCCCAGCACAUUAAAGAAUUCCAAAUAGCAUAGCUUGUGUGGGACACUGGAGCCGUUGUGAUGGCAGCAGAAGUGUUUUCCCCUUAAAGCCAAGCCCAUUAAUUUUGAUGGAACAGCAGGACGUACAGGGCAUGUCUGAAGGGCAGGACAGCUGGCACGGCGGACGACCCACCCCUUAUCCCCUGGGAGUGCUUACUUUUCUGGUGCAGAAAGAUUGUUGGGAACAGACAGGAACCAAUGUGGGAAUUCAACUUCAAGUUCAAAAAACAGUCCCCUAGG